UUUUUUUGAAUUUUGAAAUUUCCGUGAAAUAUAGGGAUCUGUAAACAAGUAUAAUUUCAUGUAGACGUUUAAAAAUGUGGUUAUCGCGAUGCAGCAUUUUGUUGUUGUUGAUUUCGAUAGUCAGUGUCCAACUAGUGUUAAAAUCCUGUGACUGCCCAACUUCGUAUUCAGCAAUGUCAGCAUACCAGAAAAGGUGAACUACCUACCUACAACCUCGACCUAGUGCCGGGUAGGUGAAACAUCUUUUCAACCUUGGCCUUGUCGACUUUACUCGUUUAAUACCUGUUGUGCGACCACGAAUUUUCGUUCGAAGAAUGUUCCAUUAAGAGUACCAAGACCAUAUAAUUGAGGUUUAUCACUUUGAAUUUAAAUUUUAAAUAAAGAUAUGUAAGGAGUUUUAUUCAAGAUGCUGAAACGGGUUUUUUGAAAUUUACGCUAAAAUGAUGAGAAUAGAAUGUAUUUGGAUUAUUUAUGUGGAAAAAAUACAAUUUUUAAAUGGCCCUUGUAACAGUA